rnacentral:rRNA from 1 species
UGGGGAAUCUUGGACAAUGGGGGAAACCCUGAUCCAGCGACGCCGCGUGGGUGAUGAAGGCCUUCGGGUCGUAAAGCCCUGUCGGGGGGGAAGAAACUCCUGCCGGUGAAUAAUCGGCGGGAUUGACGGUACCCCCUAAGGAAGCACCGGCUAACUCUGUGCCAGCAGCCGCGGUAAGACAGAGGGUGCAAGCGUUGUUCGGAAUUACUGGGCGUAAAGGGCGCGUAGGCGGCCUGUUAAGUUCGGUGUGAAAGCCCCUGGCUCAACUGGGGAACUGCGCCGGAAACUGGCAGGCUAGAGUACCGGAGAGGAGGGUGGAAUUCCUGGUGUAGCGGUGAAAUGCGUAGAUAUCAGGAGGAACACCGGUGGCGAAGGCGGCCCUCUGGACGAGUACUGACGCUGAGGCGCGAAAGCGUGGGGAUCAAACAGG